rnacentral:lncRNA from 1 species
GGGUCGAGGGCGUCUCCGGACGGCGGCGGGUGGAGCUCCGGGCACGGCUUUGUCAUGGGGUCGAGGACGGCACGGCCAACGGCGUCAAGAGGUCACGAAACCUUGUCAAAAAGGUAGGUAAGGGUCACAUGAGUCUACCGGUGAAAAGAAUCAAAGAACGGAUGUUUAGGGUGAUCUCACCGGCAACAAUGGUGGCGGUGACCGGCGGAGGAAGACGUCGACGUAGCUGGCUGUACAGAGGUUUUGAGGCCAAACUUUCUAGAUGGGAAUGGGAGAGAAGAGACAAAGGCUCAAAGUGACGCGCGUGGAAUCCUUUUAUAGUGGCCGAGGAGGGAGAUCGGACGCGGGAUGUCGACGGCCAACAUUCGGAGUGCCUCUUUUGGAAACUGCGAUAAUGAGAGGAAACUUCAAAUUGGUUGCCUCGAUGGGUUCCCGGGAUGGUGAAGAUUGAUGGGGUGGUUUCUUUUCGGAGAAAGACGCGCGGGAAGGAAAGAAAUCAAAGAAAGAAAAUAUGGAAGGAGGGGUUUCCUUACGUGCAGACGAGGAAGAAGAGCACGAGCUCGUGCUCGCUGGCUGGGGCGCUCGGUGGAGAAGGGCUGGCCCAGUUGGGUCGGUUCAUUCUCUUUUUUUUCUUUUCGUUUUUUUGUUUAUGUUUUUAUUAAUAAAUUUUGAUUCUUAACUCCAAAUAAGUCCAAAUAAACUUUAGAAAAUUUGUAAAUUCAAAUCCUCCAAAGUGUGAACUUUUGGGACUUGAAUCCUUCCAAAAUAAAAUAAGUAAAAAUACUUUUGCUUGUGUAAAUGUCAUUAGGGCUCUAUAAGUAAUACAUAAAAUAAGUUUUGAAAUCUAUUAUGAAACCUUUGUUACAUAAAUUAGUUUAAACUCCAACAAAAUAUUGGGUUGGCAUACUUUGCACUAAAACCCUUUCUUGGAUAAAUACCCCAUUGGGUUGAACUCGAAAUAAAAUCUCAUAUUAAUUACAUGGUUCACUAAAUUCCCAAAUAACUUUAUAAGACCAAAUCAAAAAUCAUGUAAACCAUCGCAGAUGUUUCUAUAUAUAUAUAUAUAUAUAUACAUAUACAUAUAUAUAUAUAUAUACAUAUACAUAUAUAUAUAUACACAUAUCUAUAUAUAUAUUUGGGAUGGUGAAGAUUGAUGGGGUGGUUUCCUUUCGGAGAGAGACGCGCGGAAAGGAAAGAAAUUGAAGAAAGAAAAUAUGGAAGGAGGGGUUUCCUUACGUGCAGAGGAGGAAGAAGAGCACGAGCUCGUGCUCGCUGGCUGGGGCGCUCGGUGGAGAUGGGCCGGCCCAGUUGGGUCGGUUCAUUCUCUUUUUUUUGAUUUUUUUAUUUAUGUUUUUAUUAAUAAAUUUUGAUUCCUAACUCCAAAUAAGUCCAAAUAAAUUUCAGAAAAUUUGUAAAUUCAAAUCCUCCAAAGUGUGAACUUUUGGGACUUGAAUUCUUUUAAAAUAAAAUAAGUAAAAAUACUUUUGCUUGUAUAAAUGUCAUUAGGGCUUUAUAAAUAAUACAUAAAAUAGGUUUUGAAAUCUAUUAUGAAACCUUUGUUACAUAAAUUAGUUUAAACUCCAACAAAAUAUUGGGUUGGCAUACUUUGCACUAAAACCCUCUCUUGGAUAAAUACCCCAUUGGGUUGAACUCCAAAUGAAAUCUCAUAUUAAUUACAUGGUUCACUAAAUUCCCAAAUAACUUUAUAACACCAAAUCAAAAAUCAUGUAAACCAUCACAAAUGUUUCCAAACACAUAUAUAUAUAAAUGUAUGUAUUUGGGAUGGUGAGGAUUGAUGGGGUGGUUUCCUUUCGGAGAGAGACGCGCGGGAUGGAAAGAAAUCGAAGAAAGAAAAUAUGGAAGGAGGGGUUUCCUUACGUGCAGAGGAGGAAGAAGAUCACGAGCUCGUGCUCGCUGGUUGGGGCGCUCGGUGGAGAUGGGCCGGCCCAGUUGGGUCGGUUCAUUCUGUUUUUUUUUUGUUUUUUUAUUUAUGUUUUUAUUAAUAAAUUUUGAUUCCUAACUCCAAAUAAGUCCAAAUAAAUUUCAGAAAAUUUUUAAAUUCAAAUCCUCCAAAGUGUGAACUUUUGGGACUUGAAUCAUUUCAAAAUAAAAUAAGUAAAAAUACUUUUGCUUGUAUAAAUGUCAUUAGGGCUUUAUAAGUAAUACAUAAAAUAGGUUUUGAAAUCUAUUAUGAAACCUUUAUUACAUAAAUUAGUUUAAACUCCAACAAAAUAUUGGAUUGGCAUACUUUGCACUAAAACCCUUUCUUGGAUAAAUACCCCAUUGGGUUGAACUCCAAAUAAAAUCUCAUAUUAAUUACAUGGUUCACUAAAUUCCCAAAUAACUUUAUAACACCAAAUCAAAAAUCAUGUAAACCAUCGCAGAUGUUUCCAAACAUAUAUAUAUAUAUUUGGGAAGUCACGUUAUCCCACUCUCAAAGACGGAAUAAAUGUUGG